rnacentral:rRNA from 1 species
AUUGAACGCUGGCGGCAGGCCUAACACAUGCAAGUCGAGCGGUAGAGAGGUGCUUGCAUCUCUUGAGAGCGGCGGACGGGUGAGUAAUGCCUAGGAAUCUGCCUGGUGGUGGGGGAUAACGUUCGGAAACGGACGCUAAUACCGCAUACGAUCUACGGAUGAAAGCGGGGGAUCGCAAGACCUCGCGCGAUUGGAGCGGCUGAUAUCAGAUUAGGUAGUUGGUGAGGUAAAGGCUCACCAAGCCGACGAUCUGUAGCUGGUCUGAGAGGACGACCAGCCACACUGGGACUGAGACACGGCCCAGACUCCUACGGGAGGCAGCAGUGGGGAAUUUUGGACAAUGGGCGCAAGCCUGAUCCAGCAAUGCCGCGUGCAGGAUGAAGGCCUCGGUUGUAACUAGCUUUGUACGGUACGAACGGUAGAGCUCUAAUACAGUUGUCUAAUGACGGUA